rnacentral:lncRNA from 1 species
GCGCUAAUCAGCACUCUGUAAAAACAGACCAAUCAGCACUCUGUAAAACAGACCAAUCAGCGCUCUGUAAAAUGGACCAAUCAGCAGGAUGUGGGUGGGGCCAAAUAAGGGAAUAAAAGCUGGCCACCCGGGCCAGCAGCAGCAACCUGCUCAGGUCCCCUUCCAUGGUGUGGAAGCUUUGUUCUUUCGCUGUUCACAAUGAAUCUUGCUGCUGCUCACUCUUUGGGUCCGCACUAGCUUUAUGAGCUGUAACGCUCACUGCGAAGGUCUGUGGCUUCACUCCUGAAGUCAGCAAGACCACGAACCCACCGGAAGGAGGAAACAACUCCGGAAGCACCACGUUUAAGAGCUGUAACACUCACUGCGAAAGUCUGCAGCUUCACUCCUGAAGUCAGCAAGACCACAAACCCACCGGAAGGAAGAAAUUCCAGACACAUCUAAACAUUGGAAGGAACAAACUCCAGACACACUAUCUUUAAGAACUGUAACACUCACCGCGAGGGUCUGUGGCUUCAUGCUUGAAGUCAGCCGGACCAAGAACCCACCGGAAAGAACCAAUUCCUGACACAAUCGUUCUUCAUGGUCUAUGACUCCAAGGUCUGAAAUGAUCUCAUUUACCCCACAUGAUAGAUGUGGCCCUUCCAGAUGAGGAGUUCAACAAGACUACAUGGUAGAGCAGCCAGAGAACCCACUGGAAAUAAGGCUCAAAAUAAGGAGUAACCACAAAAUAAGAGACAGAGAAUGCUGAUUCACUAUGCAGUGAAACAUGCCUAACGUGUCAACAGCUAAAUGCCCGGUGACAGUGUGGUUGUCUGGGCAACAGAAGAAGUCACCCACGCAAACACUUAAAGGACCAUACUUAUUUUACAAGAGGAACAGUUUUCAAUGGAAUGGAUAUUAAAACACACACCUGGAUCCCUUUACCACAGGUGCUUUGAGAGGCACCAUCAAGGACAGUGAGCUAACGCAGGAGAAUGGAGUCCCAGAAACCUAGGAGGAGAAGACAAAGUGUCAGCCUCUCGGCAUCUGCAGUGUUGCUAGGAAAAGAGCUCUGAUCCCAGGGGCUUACCCACUUCCACAGGUAGGAAGCGUCCCUGAGAGGACUGGAACAUUAGCAUAUCUCAGAUCCAUCUGCAAAACUUUUGCAAACACGGAACUCCCUCGUUCUAAUCUUAUCAGCAACUUCCAGAGCUGAACCUUGAUUAAUCUGGAUACAAAAAGGAUUGAAACGCCACAUAAUAAGCAUUAACAGGAGGGUGUUUCCUUUAUCAAUGAAGCUUGAUUUAUCCAUGAUGAUCUAGUGCAUUCUCCUCCCAAAAAUCAGGAUCAUCCUCUGCAUAUGAAGGAACAGACAAGCCCUCAGCUCUACCACUUUGGAGAGGGGGGGAUUGGACAGCAUGAGCCUUCAAUUGUAUCUCUUGGAUGACCAAGGAAGGCUGGAUUUCUGCACCUAAAAAAUGGAAGCACAAACUGUACAACAAAUACUCUCCAUUCAAGUUGAAGUUCUCAAAUAAGUUUUGAAAGGUUCACUCCAGCUACUCUGUUGACAAUGGAUUAUAGAAGACUGAACAUGGAAUCCAGGAGACCAGUCAGAAAACUUCUUCAGGAAUCCAGCACAGUCUUGGCCUGUUCUGGAGAAUGCUCCCCAUCAAAAAUAAUUGACUGGAGACAAGCCAAGUCAGGAUUCUCCCUGGGAUCAAUUUCUGAUGGCGCUUUCUUCAUAAACAGGGGGACCUUUUCAAAUUCCUCUUCCCACUGGUCCUCAUGAAAGCCGCCACGGUAAGGCUGGCUCUGGAACUUUUCCAGGAACAAGUCCGUGGCAUCGUCUGAGGUGGGGUCCUGCUCAGGUUACUCCAUAACUGAUGCCCUGCCCUCCAGCCCAGGUCCCGGCACCGUGAAGUGUAGAAAAUACUCUACAAUGAAUAAAAAUAAAAUACAAUAUUCAAGAUUUAUGAAUGCAAUAAAAGCAGUGGUCAGAAGGAACAUUUAAGCUCUAAACACAUUAAAAAAGAAGAA